UACAGAGGGUGCAAACGUUGCUCGGAAUCAUUGGGCGUAAAGCGCACGUAGGCGGCUUUCUAAGUCGGGGGUGAAAUCCUGGAGCUCAACUCCAGAACUGCCUUCGAUACUGGAAAGCUCGAGUCCGGGAGAGGUGAGUGGAACUGCGAGUGUAGAGGUGAAAUUCGUAGAUAUUCGCAAGAACACCAGUGGCGAAGGCGGCUCACUGGCCCGGUACUGACGCUGAGGUGCGAAAGCGUGGGGAGCAAACAGG
rnacentral:rRNA from 1 species